GACGAACGCUGGCGGCGUGCUUAACACAUGCAAGUCGAACGGUGACCCAGGGCUUGCCCUGGUGAUCAGUGGCGAACGGGUGAGUAACACGUGGGCAACCUGCCCCUGACUUCGGGAUAACUCCUCGAAAGAGGAGCUAAUACCGGAUACGACCACUUCGGACAUCCGAUGGUGGUGGAAAGUUUUUCGGUCAGGGAUGGGCCCGCGGCCUAUCAGCUAGUUGGUGGGAUAAUGGCCUACCAAGGCGACGACGGGUAGCCGGCCUGAGAGGGCGACCGGCCACACUGGGACUGAGACACGGCCCAGACUCCUACGGGAGGCAGCAGUGGGGAAUAUUGCGCAAUGGGCGAAAGCCUGACGCAGCGACGCCGCGUGAGGGAUGAAGGCCUUCGGGUUGUAAACCGUCUUUCAGCAGGGACGAAGCGAAAGUGACGGUACCUGCAGAAGAAGCACCGGCUAACUACGUGCCAGCAGCCGCGGUAAU
rnacentral:rRNA from 1 species